UGUUGCAGCUCUCAUAAUCAUCACUGUGACUGUAUUCAGAUGGAAGAGAGCUAAAGGGAAGAAAACACAGACGGAUGAAAACAUGGCUGAUCCUGAAGAUGGUGUUUCCUACGCCUCCAUCAGCUACACCAAGAAGACCAACAGGAGAGCCCAGGCUCGGGGUGGAGAUGAUGAUGAAGAUGAUGCAGUGACCUACAGCACCGUGAAAGCUCCCUCUUCCUCUGCUGCUGCUGCAGCCUCUGCUGAUCUCAGCAACCUCUACGCCACCAUCAACUAACCAAAGAAUUAAGAGAGCACAGGGUAGUACAGCUCGUAUCAUUACAGUUAUACGCAGUUACUUGAUAUGGAAAAAAGAUAUGAUAAACAAAUGAUUAGCUCACGGUCAAGAGAUGUGUGCACAUUGUUAUGCUAUAACUAUUGCUGAGCCAUUUCUCAAUAAGAGCAACAGGCUGAUCAUGUAUGGACUGAACCUAAAAAGCUUACAUUUAAGAUGAUAACAUAGAAAUACUGUAUAUUACUGAGAAUUAUGUUGUGUUAUGUGUAUAUAAUUUAUCUAAAAAGGUCAUGUGCCCAGUUGAGAUCUCUGUAUUUUACCAUUUACUGUUGGAACUGGACGGUUUGUCAGUCUGGAAGAAGACAAGCAGGUUUGUUCAAUGUGCUGAUUGACUGACAUACAAAAUUAAAUCCAUUUUAAUUUGUUUUGCCCUUUUUACUGGGAAGUGCACAUAACUUUAUGUACUGUAUGUUAAAAAAAAGAUAUUGAUUCUUCUUUUGUUCUUUCUUUUGAUUUUGUAAAUAUGGAUGAUGAACAAAUAUUGAGCUGGCUAUUUGUAUAUGAUGCUUUUAGCUUAAAUAUACUUGGAGAGAGCUUUGGAAAAGAGAUCAAAGUUGUUGUUUUUAAUCAUGUAGCUGUUUUUGUCAGUGU